rnacentral:rRNA from 1 species
AACGAACGCUGGCGGCAUGCCUAACACAUGCAAGUCGAACGAGACCUUCGGGUCUAGUGGCGCACGGGUGCGUAACGCGUGGGAACCUGCCCCUAGGUUCGGAAUAACUCCCCGAAAGGGGUGCUAAUACCGGAUAAUGUCCUCGGACCAAAGGUUUAUCGCCUUUGGAUGGGCCUGCGUUGGAUUAGCUAGUUGGUAGGGUAAAAGCCUACCAAGGCGACGAUCCAUAGCUGGUCUGAGAGGAUGAUCAGCCACACUGGGACUGAGACACGGCCCAGACUCCUACGGGAGGCAGCAGUGGGGAAUAUUGGACAAUGGGCGAAAGCCUGAUCCAGCAAUGCCGCGUGAGUGAUGAAGGCCUUAGGGUUGUAAAGCUCUUUUACCCGGGAUGAUAAUGACAGUACCGGGAGAAUAAGCUCCGGCUAACUCCGUG